rnacentral:lncRNA from 1 species
AGCUGCCGAGCCGCUUUGUGCGCAGGCGCCUCGCAGCGGGCGCUGGCGCUGGGGCUGCUGGGUGAAAUGGCCGCGGGAGGCGCAGGCGCACGUGGUGUGGAUCGUGAACGUCUAAGUCCGCCAUUUUGAAGGAGAGAUGAAGAAAGGCAUGGAGCCAUCGGGGUAGGACGUUCCUUGUCUGUGGAGCGUGAGAGGCCGCCCAGUGCAACGUGGAAUGAGGUUUUCUAACGUAAAGGCGGGGCUGGGAAGUUGUUGAGAGACCAGGAAGUUGAAAGAGUAGAUGAAGGCCAUGAUGAUGCAAGAAGAAAUGCAGGAGAGAAGGUGGUUUGAAGGACAAAGGAGAUGAAAGAUGCCUGUGUUGAAAGGACCACCGAUGUUUGGGCGAAAUGAAGAAGAAAUGGAAUGGAAGAACAGAAGACUUCUUUAUAAAGGCUGGUGCUUGAUGAGGAGUCACACUUAAUUCUUAAAAUAAUGACUGAAGAAUCCAUACUCCCAAUUUUACAAGUGUGAAAAUGGGAAAUCAGGAGGAAAAAAAUCAGAACUAUUUUAAGGAACUGUAAGAUGCAAAUUAACUCCACGAGUUCGUUUUGGAUAUAUGUGUUCUAAAUAUGUGACUUUUAAGUUUUUGAAGUUAAUGAUAAAACUGAAGAAUUAAAUGAGAUUUAAAAUUUGCAGACCAUUAAGGGGGAGGAUAUAGCAAAGAAAACCUGUCCAAUCAAUAAGGCAGAAAUGGAAACAAGAAAAGCAAAAGAAACCAGAAUAUGCUAACAUAAAAUAAAAUUAGAACCUUAAAUCUAAACUGUGUGUACAAUAAGUAUAAAUGGGUUAAUUUUACUCAUAAAUUUAAAAAGAUAUUUUUCCUUAAGAACAAAAUCCAGCUAUAAGUUGAC